UAGAGUCUGACUGUGGCCCCAGAGUGGAUAUGAAACCGCCAACAACUUGUCAUGGACUCAGACACCUUUUGUUCAGCUGUGGCGACACAGGAAGAGGGUAGAGCUGGCCACCAAGUUCACUGAGGUUCAGGCUCUCUUGUUUGGCUGCAGUGCUCGAAAACUUGGAAAACUGGAGUCAGUCAUUUCUGAUUGAGAAGCACCGGGAGAAUGGUCAGUAAGCACAUCAUAUUCACAUAUUUGCAUAAAAUUAGGUGGAACAUCGGGCCAUGGACUAACAAAGAACUGAUUGUUUUUUGGUGUGGAUAAUACCACCAGCAGAUAGUGGCCAUUAAAGAAGCUCUUCCAUUAUCAAUGAGGCAUAGAAGAAAGGUUCUUGGAUUCCUUGGUUCAAUAUAUAUAUAUAUUUUUCCAGUACAGCCCACAACCAGCUCAACAGAUUUUGUGCAUUUUUCAGUUUUUUCAAAAAUAUUAAUUUCAUCCAGUCUUCACCAAACUGUCAACAACAGAAACAGACAUUAUCUAUCCUUCAACACCGAACCAAAACCACUCACAGCAUUGACUGAGAGGGGUUCAUCAAGUUCAUCGAUCAGUGCAUCUGUGGAUGGCAGAGGACGGAUCAAGGAGACCAUUCACAUCCAAAAUCAUCUUUAAAUGGAGACAGGAGUUCACCCACAAAUUCCAAAAUGUUUAUUGAAAUAAGAUACCUGGGAAUGAUAUUCAAUUAUUGUUUAUAUAGAGAGCUGCUUAGAUCUUGGCUGACCUUUGUCAGACACACAUCACAUUAUGAGAAAACCAGACAAACAAGUAGAGACAACUGUGGGCUGCUGUCUCCAGUCACCUUUAGUUGGACCUGUGUAAACAUUUGCAACUGCAAUAUGUUACUGCCAAAUGUCAAAAACUAACUUUUUAAUUGGGAAAAUAACACGGGUAAUUGGGUGAAUAUAAAAUCAAUAAUGUUGCUUCCUCAAUUGCAUUUAACAUUAAAUGCAAAAUAAAAAAUCUGUUUUUAAGGCUCUAAAGGUUCAUGCAUCACUGCGUGAUGUCUCAUAGGGAAACCAAACAGACAGAAAAGCAGCUGCUCAAAUCUGUGUUUGUCUGGCAGUAAAAGCAUUU